UAAAACCGGAAGUUAAAUAUUGGCUGACCGCAUACAGACGUAGUAGCCUUUGAAACGCACACGAUUGGAUGUUAUUGUAUUUUUACGGCCAUUUGAGUCUCAUUUUAAUGUUCUAAAAUGUAAAACACGACUUUUAUGCCAAGUAAGAAUACGGCGCCCCGGUUCGCGUGCUGUUGCCACGGAAACGUCACGUGGCGCGAGCUAGUUGCCAAACUUCGCGUUAGCUAAAGCGUCCUGAACAUUUUGUACCCCGAGAGCAAAGUUUGCCACAAACAAAGUCGAGAAUACAUCGGGACUGAAGACCUCCACAUCCUGGCUACUUGUUUGUUUGUCUUUCUUUGCCACAAGACGACCAGUUAGCUUGUUAGCAUGUCGGAGGAGGAGGAGCAGCACAAGCUGAAGAUUUCAAGCAGCUCGGACGACAAGAAGAAGAAGAGGAGAAAGAAAAGAAAGAAGAGGAAGAAACACACACCUCCACAAUACCCAGUUGACCCAAACCCGGCAGUCGAGCCCCCCGAGCCGGCCGCGCGGGUGACCCCGGUGCCCCGAGGUCAAACGUCCAAACGGCGAGCGACGUGCAAGAAGAGCAAAGAGCCCCCGAGAGAGCCUCCGCCCCCCGCCGACGACAUCCCCCCCGGCAAAGAUCCGGCUGCGGCGCCGGACGAGACGGCGCAGGACGCGCAGGUGAGGGAGUGCCUGAGGUGGGCGGGGGUCCUGCGGGACCCCCGGGCGGAGGAGGAGAGGCUGGAAGCGUACCGGGCCAACAGGAGGCGCCGUUACGCAGCCCAGCGAGACGCUCAGCGGGCGGCCGUCCGGACCCCGCCCGCGGGCCCCCCGCCUCUCUCGAGUCGCGACGCGCUCUGAAAGACAAAGUCGCUCUGCAGGUCGCCACCGUCGGCGUGGACAUGCUGACUUCAACAACAACAAUUUCAUUUUUAUGAUUUUUUAAACAAACACAUCAGAAGCUUUGGAGGAAAAUCAUUUCUUGAGAAAAGAGUUUGUCUGUCUUUGUCUACAUGUUCAGGCUGUGUAAAGAAUAUGAAGUUCAGUGCCAGACUGUUUCAGCAAUCUCAUUAAAACUGUGCGUGUGUUGGGAUAACAAGCAGACACCUGCAUGACCUCUGACCUCUGUGUGACUUUCAAAUGCAUGAGCACUCUUUCACUCUUUCACCAUUUAGCGAGUCCUCACCAACUGGCGGCAACACAAACGGUUCUCGGGACUUGUUCUGGCUUCCUCUCGGCAUGUACGCUUUCACGCCGUUUUCCUUGAUGCAGUCAAUCAAGUAACUAAGUACUUGUACUUUUUUACUGUACUUAAGUAGAUUUUUCAGGAAUCUGUAACUUGAGUAUUUAUAUUUCUGGUGACUUUUAACUUCUUACUUUUUAAACACAAAUCUCUACUUUUUAAUCCUUAGAUUUUUUUAAAUGAGUUAAAGGUUUUAAAUUAAAAAGCUAAAAUUAGCAACGACGCAACAUAAAAAGCAGAACAGCAAAAAAAACCAGAAUCACAAGUGUUUGCAGUUGUCGAAAGACUUUGUACUUUUUUACUGAAGUACUUUUUUAUACGUAUAUUUUUGCACUUUUACUUGAAAACUUGAAACUCAUUCCCUGCCAAUGCCGUCCGAAGACGUCAUUCCGAAUCGCGCUACUCCCUGCCGAUACCGUCUAAAGUCGUCAAUGGCGUUUUUUAAUGGGAGGGAAGGGGGGCUCCGGUGCAGUUUAUGUGUUAUCGUCAAGCCUCUGGAUACCCGCAUUGAGGAAUGGGCCCUGUCGAGGGCAACGAUGCCUUAAGGUGAACGUCCCUCCCUCAGCUUCAAGAAGAAGAAGAAGAGGAGGAGGACACAAUGAGAAGAGCCAAGCAAGCAUAAUGGGUGGAAAAGAGAGAAGAAAAAAUGGAACAAAAAUCUAAAAAAAAAAAGCUUUCGGCACUAGACGUUUAUUGCGCCAAGGCAAGGAAAAUAUUCCUGCGACCGACGGGAAUGACGCCUUAGAUCACGCGGGGAACAAAGGAUGACGCUCCGAGCCGAUCCCCUUUGCAGCAAAGCUAUCGCCGAAAAUGCCGGGCCGUACAUAUGGCGAGAUGCUCUCGGCCGCUUGCCGGCCAGGAUUUCAGUAAAUGGGGUCCCGGAUCGUCGGAUGAGUCGAGUCCCUCUGGGUCGCCUUCCGUUUCCAGCUCGUCCAUCUUUCAGGAACGCAAGACCCGCGUGUCGACCGUCUUUUAGGAUUGCGACGAAGAAAAGUUAUGCAUCUCGCAGACGUUCAACUCCCGUUCCAGUACGCAGUGCGACCCCAAAAAGAUUGUGCUUCGAGCAGAAGUAGGGACCGGUCUCAAGGACGACGACAACCACACGAGCCCGUUCUCUGCCACCAUAGAAUAAAAUCCAGAUGUGGGUAAAACCUGGCUAGAUUUGAUCAAAACCUGGACUAUUGAGCAAACCGUCGAGGAGGAGGAAGAAAGUGCAAGUGUCCCCAUUUGUCCAUGCAUUUUGGUCUCAUGUAAAUUCUGUAAUGUAAAUGAAAUUCUUGUAAAAUGUUUUUUUUUUCCUGUCAAAACGACUUUCUUUC